GGUACAUAUUUCUUAUUGUUGGUGAUGUAUGGUUUGAGUGCUAUUCCAUUUGCAUACCUAUUCAGUUACUUCAGGAACACAACUGCAGGCGCUUUUGCCUUACUUGUAGUACUCAGUAUAUUGAUUGGUUCAGUAAUGUCUCCGGUGGUGUACUCUAUGAUAUUGUUUGAGAGCUACAAGUCUACUGGGAAAGUGCUGAAGUACUUAUUCGAAUUUGUACCUCACUUCACAAUUACAUAUGCAUUUGGACGCUUCUCAUAUCUUGUUCUCACAAACAAUAAGUGCAGACUGAAGAAAUCUGAUUGUAAUAGCAUUUCUGGAAGUUCUGACUUAUGCUGCUGUAAGUUUCUGCAUUACUUUAUAGAUAUGAAAUCUGUAAUAUUGUUUGUAAACCUAGCCUAGUUUCCAGUUGAUAAUUUGUGGAUAACGGCAACAUGGAAUUUAUAUAUAUCUUUAUUUAUUUAUUUUUAGUAGAGUUAAAACUUAGUAGUGUGUUUUGAGGUUGGUGUUCAGAUUUCUCCAGUUCCAUUCUUACAUAUUAAAUAACUUUUACUGCA